GAUCGGCUCAUGUCUUCGGAUAUGCCCCGAUAUGAACCUUCCCGUGCUUUUUAGAACAUAGAUGGCAUCAGUCAGGUGACCAUCGAAACGCAAUACGCCACGGAAAUGCUUUGGCAUUCGGAUGGUAUGGCGAGCCUCGCCGUCCACGUUUCUCUUUCUUCAAGAAGACAAAGAACCGCGUCGAUCCGGAUGGUUUUGCUGUCUGGACCGGUUUGACGAGAAUGGGCCCGUAGCUCAGUUGGUUAGAGCACACGCUUGAUAAGCGUGGGGUCGGAAGUUCAAGUCUUCCCGGGCCCACCAUGCUUUGCCGUUUGGGCUAUCGCAUGGCGAGCCGGGAAUGGACGGUGACGCGGAAGUUGCCGAACCCCGAAGAAGGUUGGGGCGAUCGAGCUGAUGGGGCUGUAGCUCAGCUGGGAGAGCACCUGCUUUGCAAGCAGGGGGUCAGCGGUUCGAUCCCGCUCAGCUCCACCA
rnacentral:tRNA from 1 species